rnacentral:tRNA from 1 species
GCCGCGGUGGUGGAACUGGUAGACGCACUGGACUCAAAAUCCAGCGCCCGCAAGGGCAUGAGAGUUCGAGUCUCUCCCGCGGCA